rfam:Streptomyces albulus strain NK660, complete genome.
CUGUCGGAUCCGCCUGGAAUUGCAGGGAAUUGAGUAGAGGGAACCGGGGAACCACCAUCUUGGGGUGAAUCGGGCGCCUCUCGCCAGGGGGUGCCGGUAGGAGACCUUCCUGCUCCGAACCCGUCAGCUAACCCGGUAGGCGAGAAGGAAGGAAAGG